rnacentral:misc_RNA from 1 species
AACACCUCAAACCUCUUGGUUUUUUCCAAGAGUUUUGGACUUGAGCAAACCCAACACCUUUUCUCACGAUUUAGUGGCGGGUUGCUUGAAAUGCAGGUGCAGCUGGACAUUCUCCUGAGCUAAAAGCAUAUCUAUUUAGUCCCGUCAAACGGAUUAUUACUUUUGCUGCAGCUAACAUAAAGGGAGUUUUGACCGUAUUGGCUGACUGAUGCAGGAUUUCACAGAGUCGGAAACGAUUCUGUCAA